AUGCAAGUCGAACGAGCGAGAGAAAGCUUGCUUUCUCGAGCGAGUGGCGAACGGGUGAGUAACGCGUGAGGAACCUGCCUCAAAGAGGGGGACAACAGUUGGAAACGACUGCUAAUACCGCAUAAGCCCACAGGUCGGCAUCGACCAGAGGGAAAAGGAGCAAUCCGCUUUGAGAUGGCCUCGCGUCCGAUUAGCUAGUUGGUGAGGUAAUGGCCCACCAAGGCGACGAUCGGUAGCCGGACUGAGAGGUUGAACGGCCACAUUGGGACUGAGACACGGCCCAGACUCCUACGGGAGGCAGCAGUGGGGAAUAUUGCACAAUGGGGGAAACCCUGAUGCAGCGACGCCGCGUGGAGGAAGAAGGUCUUCGGAUUGUAAACUCCUGUUGUUGGGGAAGAUAAUGACGGUACCCAACAAGGAAGUGACGGCUAACUACGUGCCAGCAGCCGCGGUAAAACGUAGGUCACAAGCGUUGUCCGGAAUUACUGGGUGUAAAGGGAGCGCAGGCGGGAAGACAAGUUGGAAGUGAAAUCUAUGGGCUCAACCCAUAAACUGCUUUCAAAACUGUUUUUCUUGAGUAGUGCAGAGGUAGGCGGAAUUCCCGGUGUAGCGGUGGAAUGCGUAGAUAUCGGGAGGAACACCAGUGGCGAAGGCGGCCUACUGGGCACCAACUGACGCUGAGGCUCGAAAGUGUGGGUAGCAAACAGGAUUAGAUACCCUGGUAGUCCACACCGUAAACGAUGAUUACUAGGUGUUGGAGGAUUGACCCCUUCAGUGCCGCAGUUAACACAAUAAGUAAUCCACCUGGGGAGUACGACCGCAAGGUUGAAACUCAAAGGAAUUGACGGGGGCCCGCACAAGCAGUGGAGUAUGUGGUUUAAUUCGACGCAACGCGAA
rnacentral:rRNA from 1 species